CAUGAUUUACUUGAUCUUGAUUAUCUAAAUGGAUAACUGUGGAAAAGCUAGAGCUAAUACAUGCACCAAAGCUUUGUCCUCUCGGAAAAGCGCAUUUAUUAGAACAAAACCACGCGGCUUCGGCUGCUUCUUGUUGACUCAGAAUAACUAAGCUGACCGCAUGGCCUUGUGCCGGCGGCGUGUCUUUCAAGCGUCCACUUUAUCAACUUGACGGGAGCAUAAUCGACUCCCGUGGUGGUGACGGAUAACGGAGGAUCAGGGUUCGACUCCGGAGAAGGGGCCUGAGAAAUGGCCACUACGUCUAAGGAUGGCAGCAGGCGCGCAAAUUACCCACUCUCGGCUCGAGGAGGUAGUGACGAGAAAUAACGAGAUCGUUCUCUUUGAGGCCGGUCAUCGGAAUGGGUACAAUUUAAACCCUUUAACGAGUAUCAAGCAGAGGGCAAGUCUGGUGCCAGCAGCCGCGGUAAUUCCAGCUCUGCUAAUACAUAGAAUUAUUGCUGCGGUUAAAAAGCUCGUAGUUGGAUUCGUAUCGGUACCCUGGAACCCUCCGGGUGUUUCUGGGUGUUAUCGAUUUAUCGUAAUGUUCGGUUUUGAGUCCUUAACAGGAUUCUUAACAGGCAUUGCAAGUUUACUUUGAACAAAUCAGAGUGCUUCAAACAGGCGUUUUCGCUUGAAUGAUCGUGCAUGGAAUAAUAGAAAACGAUUUCGGUUCAGUUUUAUUGGUUUUACGGACUGAGAUAAUGGUUAACAGAGACAAACGGGGGCAUUUGUAUGGYCCCGUGAGAGGUGAAAUUCUUGGACCGUGGCCAGACAAACUACAGCGAAAGCAUUUGCCAAGAAUGUUUUUAUUAAUCAAGAACGAAAGUCAGAGGUUCGAAGGCGAUCAGAUACCGCCCUAGUUCUGACCGUAAACGAUGCCAACUAGCGAUCCGCCGAUGGAAAUUAUAUUGCCUUGGUGGGGAGCUUCCCGGAAACGAAAGUCUUCCGGUUCCGGGGGAAGUAUGGUUGCAAAGCUGAAACUUAAAGGAAUUGACGGAAGGGCACCACCAGGAGUGGAGCCUGCGGCUUAAUUUGACUCAACACGGGGAAACUCACCCGGCCCGGACACUGUGAGGAUUGACAGAUUGAUAGCUUUUUCAUGAUUCAGUGGAUGGUGGUGCAUGGCCGUUCUUAGUUCGUGGAGUGAUUUGUCUGGUUUAUUCCGAUAACGAGCGAGACUCUAACCUACUAAAUAGUUGGUACAUACUCUUAGUGUAUACAGCUUCUUAGAGGGAUUUGCGGCGUUCAGCCGAAAGAAAUUGAGCAAUAACAGGUCUGUGAUGCCCUUAGAUGUCCGGGGCUGCACGCGCGCUACACUGGCAAAAUCAACGUGCUUGUCCUACCCUGAAAGGGGCGGGUAAACCAUUGAAAAUUUGCCGUGAUUGGGAUCGGAAAUUGCAAUUAUUUUCCGUGAACGAGGAAUUCCAAGUAAGUGCGAGUCAUCAGCUCGCGUUGAUUACGUCCC
rnacentral:rRNA from 1 species